GAUUAUUUUUAUCCUAUUUUUUUUUCCUUUGCAAAUGUCCUGAUCCAAUUUAAACAUGGGUUUGUUUGCAUCUCCCCACAGAAAAACAAAAACAAAGACAAAACCAUAAAAACAAUCUGGAGAAAGACACCAUCUGAUAUGGAAUACUACAGCUUUUCUUGCAAUGAACCACCACUUAAUAAACUCUAAAUUCUCGACAGAGUGAUGAUAUACAGCAGCCCACGCUGUCAUCCUGGACUCCUUCACUGCACAUCUGCAAUCCAGACUGCCAGUUUCAGAAAACUGGAUUUACUGCUUGGGCAGGAUCCAGUGGUGACUGCCUAUUGCCCUGGAGCAGAUCUGGUCUAUAGUUGCUGA
rnacentral:lncRNA from 1 species